CCUACGGGUGGCAGCAGUGGGGAAUAUUGCACAAUGGGGGAAACCCUGAUGCAGCGACGCCGCGUGAGCGAAGAAGUAUUUAGGUGUGGAAAGCUCUAUCAGCAGGGGAGAAAAUGACGGUACCUGAGUAAUAAGCGCCGGCUAAAUACGUGGCAGCAUCCGCUGUAAUACGGAUGGAGCAAGCGUUAUCCCGAUUUACUGGGGGUAAAGGGAGCGUAGGCGGGCUUGAAAGGUUGAUGGGAAAUAAUGGGGCUUACCCCUGACGAUGCCAUGGAAACUGGAAGGCUGGAGAACAGGCGAGGUAGGCGGAAUAAGUAGUGUAGCGGUGAAAUGCGUAGAUAUAACGAGGAACACCAAUGGCGAAGGCGGCUUGCCAGACGGUGACUGACGCUGAGGCUCGAGAGCGUGGGGAGCAAACAGGAUUAGAUACCCGAGUAGUC
rnacentral:rRNA from 1 species